rnacentral:rRNA from 1 species
UACGUAGGGUGCAAGCGUUGUCCGGAAUUAUUGGGCGUAAAGAGCUCGUAGGCGGUCUGUCGCGUCUGCUGUGAAAACUCAGGGCUUAACCCUGAGCUUGCAGUGGGUACGGGCAGACUAGAGUGCGGUAGGGGAGACUGGAAUUCCUGGUGUAGCGGUGAAAUGCGCAGAUAUCAGGAGGAACACCGGUGGCGAAGGCGGGUCUCUGGGCCGUAACUGACGCUGAGGCGCGAAAGCGUGGGGAGCAAACAGG